AAAAAAACUGACAAUAUGAAAAAGGAGAGGAACAGUCUGUUUGCCAAGAUCAACAAAAUCUCCCAACUCCAAUCUCCACUGCUAAAUUCAGGGUUUUCAAAAAUGCUUCCCAACUAUCCCUCAAUCGAAUGUUUUUGGGAAUUUUGAUCCUGGUAUGCUAAAUUCCUCCUUCACCGAAGUAAAAAUCUCACAUUCCUCUCUCACCGUACAUAUACUGCAUGCACAGCAGCAUUUCGGACGCGUUAAUGGCGGCCGUCGUGAAGAUGGAGACGACAGAUGCGGCGUCGCCAUACGACCUCGAGUACAGAGCCAGCGAGGACGACGCCUGGUACAGCGUGUGCGCCGUUUUGGACGCCGCCGCGGAGACGCUAACCGUCAAGUACAUGUGCUCGCCGGAGGUCUACGAGGUAGUCUUCUCCGCAGGGAAUUUCCAGACGGAGGCACAGGUGGAGGAGCUGGUCGCCCGGUUCAGACCGGUUUCGCAGCAGCUGCAGGAUGAGGAGUGCCUGAGGCUGUCGAUCGGAACCACCGUCUGCGCCGCACAUGGCACCGGCGACAAUGACCUGAGGUUCUACGACGCCGUUGUUGAAGCGGUGGACCGCAGGACACAUUCAUUUGUUGGUGGGGAAGAGGAAUGCUUGUGCACUUUUGUGCUAGUCUGGCAACAUGGACGUGGUCGUGGUACUUUGACCUCUGUUAACAUAGCCAGCAUAUGCUUCUUAGAACCUGCAACACAAAUUGAUCCUAGAAUCAGUGCUUUUGCAAAAAUGGCCAGGAAGAACACCACGUCUUUCAAGUCUAUGUCAGCUCCAGCUAGUGUUGACUUAGCAUCCAAUGGACCAUCGAAAGGAAAAAAGAAUAGUCGCAUAUCUAUUACAAAUGAUUUAGAAUUGCCUCAGAAUAGACCUGUGGAAUCAGAAAUUACCGCGAAGCUUAAAACUCAAACAAAACAAAUGGAAGCAGAUUCAGCAAAGAUUAGCAAUUAUGACCAAUGUACAAAUCAAGAUGAAGAUAUGGGACCAAAACCUUGCAAUACUAAUGAUUCGGCUACAAGUGAUGGUCUCUUUUUUUUAUUGAUCUAUAAUUUGGAGAAAGACCUUUCCCCAUCAUCGAUCAAGAGCUUCAUUUAUGAGAAAACUACUAUUCUGCCAGAAGCAUAUGUGUUUCCAAGUCACGUCUCACAACCAUUUGCAAGAGGAGCCAUAAUGGUGGAUAGUCAAAUGAAGGUUCAGACUAUAUAUGAAUACUUGGACAAUCCUAACCACUUUGUUGUGUCUUCAAGCGGAAGUAAGGAUCUAGUGAAAAUGACCAAAUAUGGUGAGAAUGAGAAUGAAUAUGGGACGGCAGAUAUUCUGAUAGUGCAGCACCGACCACCGAGAGGUGGGAUAAAAGUAUGCACUCGAUGCAAGUCCAGGGCUCCUGCAGUCUAGCGGGAAGAGUUGAAUUAUAAUUAUCUUUUUAUUUAUUACUCCCUCCGUCCAUGAAAGAACUUCCUAGGAGGGAGUGAUACGGGUUUUAAGAAAAAAUAUUGUUGAGUGUAUUGAGAGUGAAUAAAAGGUAGUUGAGUGUAUUGGGAGUGGUGAAAAGGUGUUAUAAUUAAUAUUGGGAGUUGUGAAAAGUGAAAAGUAAAAGGAUUAUAAGUGGUGGGGUAUAAUCCAAAAAUAGGUAGGAAGUUCUUUUGUGGACGUCCCAAAAAAGAAAGAUAGGAAGUUCUUUCGUGGACGGAGGGAGUAUUUAUUAUGUUUUCUUGUUGAUUAAGUUUUGCGGGCCUCUUUGUCUUCUACAUGGGUCUUAGGAGGAAUUAGUAUUUAUUAGCCUUUGCCUAGAGAAAUUAGGUAUCAGAUAUUAUAUUUGUGAUUUUUGCGGCAUUACGUUGUGGCAGAACCUCUCGUUAUGUGGACUUCGUUAAGGAGUAUUCAUCUUUCAAUUCUAUUCCUUUUAAUUCGCUCUCUCCACUCUACCAUAUUCAAAUCCUAUAUCUGAUAUUAAUUUAUUUAAGUUUAUCUUGUAAAAAUAAAAUAACGAAUCUACGAAUAUGCCGCUUGUAAUGCAUGAGUAAGCGUUCAAACUUGGAUUUGAAUCCUAGAUGGGACAAAAAUUUCACCACAUUAAUUGAAUUAUGACUAUUCAUGAAUUUUGGGCCGUCCCACUAUAAAUGGCAUGUUUUCAUAAAUGAAAAAAUUUAACGCCGAAAAGUUUUGAGCCACUUACAGUGGGACGGUGGGAGUAUAUUGCAAGAGGCCUAGGCCUAGACAUAAUGUGGUAGUUAAUUUUAUCAGAUGUAAUUUUCUUCCUCACAGCAUAUGGAUUAAAGAAGAUGACUGUACCUCUCUGAUUUCUUCCUUUCAUUUGCUUCGCAUUAACAACUAAAUGUUACGAUGAAAUUAGAAAGACAGUAAUUGAAUGUUUCAGGACUGCAAUGCUACAACAUAUGUUGUUUUAUUGCCAUACCAAGCUGAAUCCUCCCCAGGGAACUUCUUAGUCACUAUGGAUAUUUCUCUGUUACUACAUCAAAUGUGUCUCUUUGACUAGGUCACUAUGGAUCUGUGUACAUGCUUAAAAAAAUGUCAAUGCCAAUUUUGUUUUCUAGAUGGACAAUUAGCAUUAUUCAGUUAUAUACUUAUGCAGGCCAUGGGUUAUCUUCCAAAAAGCAUUGGCAGGAACAUCUGAAGCAAGUAUAUGGAACUUACUCCCUGUGAGCCGGGAAGAAAUCAAACAUAAAAGAACUGACAGGGAACUGGAAGUAGUUGUUUCAGGAACUAAAUCUUACGAGAGAGC